rnacentral:lncRNA from 1 species
UUUUGCAUUUUUAUUCCUUUUUUUUUUUUUUUUUUUAAGAUUCAUUUAUUAUGUUCAGUGUUCUGCCUGCACACCAGAAGAGGGUGCCAAGAUCACAUUUCAGAUGGUUGACAGCCACCAUGUGGUUGCUGGAAUUGAACUCAGAGACCAAUCAGUUCAUGUUUUGAAUGAUGUAGAAGAACACAUGAGGGAAAGCUUUAAGGAAAACCCGCAGGACUUUUCUUUCCCUGCCCAUCAUUAACAUAGCCAAAGAAACUCUGGUCAUUGUGUGUUCUUGCUAUGAACCUUCCAAACUUUGAAUAAGCUCGGAAUUAAACAUUUCAAAAACUAAUAGUCACAUAACAGUGAUCUUCCUGGAAUUGCUUCAAUGCAUCAGCAGCAGAUCCCAUGUUCUAAUGCUCUGUUGAAUGGCAAGGAAGUGGAUAUGGAGCAUAGUCUAGAAAGACUGCCAUGUGAAUCUUAAAGAUAUUCAUCUCUACUCUAUCCAAUAUGUGUCUGUGUUUAAACAAACACUAGAGGGAAGCACCUUGGAACUCUCUUUCACACCUCCUAACAGUCCUCUCUGGUCAAGGAUCAUUGAAUCUGUUAGAGCAUCUCCUGGAGUCCUUGUCUGGCUUGAGAAGGCCUUUACAGUGCUUUAAGUUCUAGUCCCUCUUGGUCAUUUUGGUGCCUCUUAUUGUCUCAAGUGGAACAGACUUCCUUAGAACGAAUGCCUAGGCUUUCUCCAUAUCCCUAUAGUAAUGGGAUUCCUGGAGCUAAUAGAAGUGGAGGCAUGGCUGUACUCUUUGAGUCUACUCCUCAAUAUUAUCAUCAGCUUAGCAAUUUCCCAAAGAUUAGACAGUUAAUUUGUAAUUCAUGGUUCCACAUCCAUGGAUUCAGCUUGAAAAACCUGGGCAUGAUAUAAACACCUAUAAUCUCAGCCUUCAAGAGGCAAAAGUAGGAGAAUUUUUAAUUCAAGACUACCCUGGGCAACAUGUGUGAUUCUAUCUCAAUAUAUCACUGUCCUCAUGGGAAUUAAAAAGAAGUGGAAAGGGAGAUGUAGAAAUAUAUAGAUGAGGAAAAAUGGAAGUGGAGAGGAGAAGAAGGAAGAAGAGACUAUUUAAAAGGUGUUAUUUCUGUAUCAAAUAUUCAGAGAUCUAUCUUUUGUUCAUGAUUUCCGUUUUUAAAGAUUUAUUUAUUUAUUAUCUAAACACCAUUCUGCCUGCAUGUGUGUCUGCAAGCCAGAAGAGUUCACCAGAUCUCAUUAUGGAUGGUUGUGAGCUACCAUGUGGUUGCUGGGAAUUGAACUCAGGACCUCUAGAAAAGCAGUCAGUGCUCUUAACCUCUGAGUCAUCUCUCCAGCCCCUGGUCUUGACUUCCUAAGAAUUCAAUGUGUUUUCUUAGAAUCAACAUUGUAUUGAAUAUUGUAAAACAUCUAAGUCAAUUUACGGUAUAAGGAGGAUGUGUCUGGGUUCUGUGCUAUUACUACACAAUUUUACAUAGGAGACCUGGCCAUCCCUAGAUGUGAUAUUGAUGAGGGACCUGGAACAAAAGUCCCAUGUAUACAGAGAACUAACUGUAUGCUGACUGUUAACUACACCUUAUGGAAAUUGUCAAGGUGAUAAUCAGAAUCUAGGGGAAGAUUCAUUAAUACAGAUGAGUCUGGCCCAUAUAUAGUUAGAGAAGGUGGCCCAGAGUCAGUGAUCACCAAGAGCCCUCCCAUCUUCUCUCUCUCUUUCUCUUAAAGAUUUAUUUAUUAUUAUACUUAAGUACACUGUAGCUGUCUUCAGAUGCACCAGAAGACAGUGUCAAAUCUCAUUACGGGAUUGCGGGUGGUUAUGAGCCACCAUGUGGUUGCUGGGAUUUGAAUUCAGGACCUUUGGAAAAGCAGUCAGUGCUCUUACCCACUGAGCCAUCUCGCCAGUCCCCCAUCUUAUCUCUUAAUUAGCCUGUUCUAUGACAAGAGCUAUCCAGAGAAAAAAGAAGGCAGAGCCCAGAGAUAAUAACCGUCAUUGAUCUCUGCUUUUUAACUUCUUUCUGAAGAUAUCUGUUGGGAGGCCAUCUACAAGAAGUACAUUAAACAGCAUCUAACAUAAACCUGACCAAUCUAUCCCCUUCUGUGCACAGCAAGUACCCAUUACACACAGGCACAAUAGUACUUUUCAAGGGAGGACACAGGAAGAAACAUGGGAUCCACUUCUGCUUGUCUAUUUGUGGUCUGAUGGAGCAAGAUAUUUUUUUCUGUUCAAAGCAAUAAAACAUCUAUUGCUGUGUGCUAAGAAUCACACAGUAUGUGUGAGAGUUUUGCUCAGUGUUUUCUUUUUUAAAAGAUUUUAUUUACUUUAUAUAUGCUAGUACAGUCACUGUCUUCAGACAUAUUAGAAGAAGGCAUCAGAUCACAUUACAGAUGUUUGUGAGCCACUAUGUGUUGCUGGGAAUUGAACUCAGGACCUCUGGAAGAACAGUCAGUGCUCUUAACUUGCAAGCUGUCUCUCCAGCCCUUGCUCAGUCUUUUCAAUAUCUGCCCUGUAACUUGAGUUUAGAUAUGAUCAUGAAUAGAAUCCCUAUGAUGGCACAUGUAGCUUUAUAAGGACAAAUGGAGAAACCUCAUCACAUUUGCUCUGUCUCACUAGGUGAUGCCCUCACCAUGUUAUGAUGUAGCAAGAGGGCCUUAACAGAUACCAUUGCUGUGUUCUUGAAAUUCCCAGUCUCCAGAGUCAUGAGACCAAAAAUUCUAUUUUCUUUAAAAAAAAAAUUACCCAGGCUGUGGCAUGUGGUUAUAAUUACAGAAAACAAACUAAAUAUCUUUUAUUUUAGUCAACUUGAGUAUAGAAACUUUGAGGGAUAUAACUAUAGAUUUAAAGAAUUUAUUUAGGGCCAGUGAGAUGUCUCAGUGGGUUGAUGAUCUGAGUUUUAGCCCCAGAAUAGAUAUGGUGGAAGGAGAGAACUAACUUCUGAAUGUUGUCCUCUUGUCUCUACAUGUACACUGUGGUACUCACAUGUUUAAAAGUAGGUACAUCCACCCACACAAGUAAAUAAAUAUUUUAAAAUUAUUUUAUUUUGUAAUGCUUAACUCAACAAUAUUAAUAAAUAUAUUUACUUAUUUAGCUGUACUAUAUCAUAAAACACAUGCAGCACUGUAUUCAUUCAAUAGUAUUAAUUUUUCUUCUUUUGUUUCCAGUUUUAUAUUAACUUUUCAUGUGAUUAUUGUCUAUAGGUAUUUUUAUAACUCCUACUGUCAAUGUUGAGCCUCUUACAAGCAUUCUAGAGUCCAUGACUUUUGGUUUUGACCUACUGAAGGUUUGGUCAUGCCAACUAGAAAACAAGUUCAAACUACAAGCUUCCAUUGACUGGAAAAUGAUAUCAAAUCAAGUCUAGUAUGAUUGACUAGGAGAGAUGAUCUUUUUCAUUAAUCCUACCAUAAGCUUCAGAAUUUGAACAAUUACUCCUUUCUUAAUUGAUGUUUAAAGUCUGUGUACAGUUACUUUCAACAGUUCCAAUGUGAGGUCCUUAUAUGGAUUUUUAACCCUUUCUCAAGUGGAUUUCCUUUUUUGGUUUCUAAGUAAUUUCUCAAGUGACCUCUGUUAGCACUGUAAACUGAUGUUAUUGAAGGAGUUUCCAGAGUUAAAUGUCCAAAAUAAUUUAGUUGUGAUCAUGUUCUACAUUGUGAAUCUUUGUAGUGAUUUGACAUUAGAUGCUUCUUCUUGAUGAGUAAACUUUAGGAGAGGAAAAGCAAUAUUGUCUUCUCAUACUGGACAUAGGAUGUAGUCAUUGUCGAUCAUCACAAGGACAAACCAUUGAGCUUCUUAACAUAGGUGCUGAGAACAGAACACAGGCCCUCUGAAAGAUCAGCAACUAUUCUUAACUUUUUGGUCAUUUCUCCAGCACCCAAAUGUGGGUAUAUUUU